ACAACAAAAAAAUCAUUGUUUUGAAAAUGGAAAUUAAACAAGAUGGCGCUGCGUCAAAAUGAGGUUAGGGGUCUUUCUCUCUCUCUCUCUCUCGCUCUCCGUCUACGUAUAGGGGAAAAUGCUUUUAUUUUAGAAAGCGCGCGUAGUCUUGACAAAAGCCAAGAUUCUUCUUCUUCAACUUCCCCCCUCCACACCCAACGAGGACGAUGGAAGGAAAUAUCCCCCGCUACGCACGCCUGUUCUUUGAAAUUUUCUUUUCCCUUCUCAAAAGGAAAAAAAAAAAUAAAUAAAAUGUCCUUGAACGCCAUCAAAUGUGCCACACCGCGUAAGAGCUUGAAGGGAGAAAGAAAAAAGGAAGGGACUUGUUUUGGGCGCCAUUCAGACUACGAACUCCUCCCCCCUCCUCUUUUUUUUUUGUUGUUGUUGUGAUAAAAUACACACACAAAAGGAUCGAGAACUCAAAAA